rnacentral:rRNA from 1 species
UACGUAGGGCGCGAGCGUUGUCCGGAAUUAUUGGGCGUAAAGAGCUCGUAGGCGGUGUGUCGCGUCGGCCGUGAAAACCUGGGGCUUAACUCUGGGCUUGCGGUCGAUACGGGCAUCACUGGAGUUCGGCAGGGGAGACUGGAAUUCCUGGUGUAGCGGUGAAAUGCGCAGAUAUCAGGAGGAACACCGGUGGCGAAGGCGGGUCUCUGGGCCGAUACUGACGCUGAGGAGCGAAAGCGUGGGGAGCGAACAGG